UACGUAGGGUGCAAGCGUUAAUCGGAAUUACUGGGCGUAAAGCGUGCGCAGGCGGUUAUGUAAGACAGAUGUGAAAUCCCCGGGCUCAACCUGGGAACUUGCAUUGUGACUGCAUAGCUAGAGUACGGUAGGAGGGGGAUAGGAAUUCCGCGUGUAGCAGUGAAAUGCGUAGAUAUGCGGAGGAACACCGAUGGCGAAGGCAAUCCCCUGGACCUGUACUGACGCUCAUGCACGAAAGCGUGGGGAGCAAACAGG
rnacentral:rRNA from 1 species